CUAGAUAGCUCAGUUGGCUAGAGCAUUCGGUUCAUACCCGGACGGCCGUAGGUUCGAAUCCUAUUCUAGG
rnacentral:tRNA from 1 species